rnacentral:rRNA from 1 species
GACAGAGGGUGCAAACGUUGUUCGGAAUUAUUGGGCGUAAAGAGCGUGUAGGCGGCCAGAUAGGUCUGCUGUGAAAACUCGAGGCUCAACCUCGAGAUGUCGGCGGAAACCAUUUGGCUAGAGUCCGGAAGAGGAAAGUGGAAUUCCUGGUGUAGCGGUGAAAUGCGCAGAUAUCAGGAAGAACACCCGUGGCGAAGGCGGCUUUCUGGGACGGUACUGACGCUGAGACGCGAAAGCGUGGGGAGCGAACAGG